rnacentral:rRNA from 1 species
UACGGAGGAUGCAAGUGUUAUCCGGAAUGAUUGGGCGUAAAGCGUCCGCAGGUGGCUGUGUAAGUCUGCUGUUAAAGAGUCUAGCUCAACUAGAUACAAGCAGUGGAAACUACAAGGCUAGAGUACGUUCGGGGCAGAGGGAAUUCCUGGUGUAGCGGUGAAAUGCGUAGAGAUCAGGAAGAACACCGGUGGCGAAGGCGCUCUGCUAGGCCGUAACUGACACUGAGGGACGAAAGCUAGGGGAGCGAAUGGG